rnacentral:misc_RNA from 1 species
AGCUGAACAGCCAGGACAGCAGGCUGAUCGCGCUGAUGGCGGUGAGGCCAGCAAGCACGCCAUGAAAGGAGCCGACGAUUUCGAACGGGACGAUCCGGCUCUCCUGGAGCUUCCAGUNNNNNUGGAAGGGAUCUGCUCUUCGGUCCUUGUGGACGGCGUCUUAGAGGUCGGCACCGAAACGCCUACAGCCAUAGCGAACGACUGCAGCCCGACCUGGCCG